UUUUAAAAUAAUUAUAAUUGUUAUUAUUUAAUUUCUAAGUAUUUUAAAAAAAUUAUUUUUUAUUUGUUUUUGAAAAUUAAUUUAAUUAAAGUUUUGAAAGUAUUAUUUAUUACCUUUUGUAUCAGGGUUUAUUAAAUAUUUAAAUUUAUUUUAUUUUCCCGAAUUAAAAAGAUUUAAAUUUUUAAGUGUUAAUUGUUGCAUAAAUUUUUUUAAUAUAAUUUUAGUAGUUAAAAGUUAGUCGAUUUUUAGUUUAUCUGGUUACUUAAUAUUUAAUAAAAUUAUAGAUUUAUGUUUUUUAUUUUUAAAAUUUAUAAUUCUAAUCUUGUUAUGGAUAAUCUUAACAUUUAAUUUUCAAUAUUAUUUAUUUUAUUCUUUAUAUUUUUUAAAUUUUAAAUUUAAGUUUUUAAUAAAUUAAAAUUUUUAAGUUAAAAUAUUAUAUUUAUUAAUUUUUUUAUUGAGUUUUUAAAUUUAAUUUAAUUUUUUUUUUAAUAUUGAUAAAAUUAGUAUAAUUAUUAUUUAAUUUUUAAUUAAUUCGACAAUAUUUAUUUUCAACUGUUUAUCAAAAACAUUUCUUUAAGUUUAUUUUUAAAGUAGUUCCUGCUCAAUGAUGAUUUAAAUAGCUGCAGUAAUUUGACUGUACAAAGGUAGCAUAAUAAUUAGUUUUUUAAUUGAAAGCUGGAAUGAAUGGAUUAAUGAGAAAUACAUUUUAUUAAUUUUAUUUUUAAAAUUUAAUUUUUAAGUAAAAAAGCUUAAAUAUAUUUUUAUGACGAAAAGACCCUAUAGAACUUUUUAUAAAGUUAUAUUUUAUUGGUAAAAUUUAAUUUAACUAUAUAUUUUGUUGGGGUGACAGAUAAAUUUAUACUUUAUUUUUUUUGAAUCAUUAAUUUAUGUAUAAAUGAUCUAUAAUUUUAAUUAAAAGUUUAAGUUACCUUAGGGAUAACAGCGUAAUUUUAGUGGGGAGUUCUUAUUUAUACUAAAGUUUGCGACCUCGAUGUUGAAUUAAGAUAAAUAUAUGGGGUAGGUUCUUUAUUGUUUAAGUCUGUUCGACUUUUAAAUUCUUACAUGAUUUGAGUUCAAACCGGUGUGAGCCAGGUUGGUUUCUAUCUGAAUAGAAAAAUAUUUUUUUAGUACGAAAGGACCAAAAAAUACGAUAUUUAUUGUUAAAUAUUAAAU
rnacentral:rRNA from 1 species